rnacentral:piRNA from 1 species
UCCAGUCUACCAAGAGGGUACAGCUCAGCUC